rnacentral:lncRNA from 1 species
AUUUUAAUAAGUACUUGGGAGUGUCAUUCUUUUUUCUGGUGGGAAAGAGUGCAAUAUACAUAAUGAUGCAUAUAGACAACUCAAACCCUACUUACUACCAUCCUUUAACCUAUCAUUCUCCUCUUCAUCCGUAGUGGCUAUCACCAUGACACUUCACCAUCUAUCCUCUUUGUUGAAAAUUGAACUAGCAUUUGGAAGGGACUUCCAAAUAGUCCAAU